rnacentral:rRNA from 1 species
CCUACGGGUGGCUGCAGUGGGGAAUAUUGGACAAUGGGGGCAACCCUGAUCCAGCCAUGCCGCGUGUGUGAAGAAGGCCCUCGGGCUGUAAAGCACUUUCAGUGAGGAAGAACGCCUGGUGGUUAAUACCCAUCAGGAAAGACAUCACUCACAGAAGAAGCACCGGCUAACUCCGUGCCAGCAGCCGCGGUAAUACGGAGGGUGCGAGCGUUAAUCGGAAUUACUGGGCGUAAAGCGCGCGUAGGUGGCUUGAUAAGCCGGUUGUGAAAGCCCCGGGCUCAACCUGGGAACGGCAUCCGGAACUGUCAAGCUAGAGUGCAGGAGAGGAAGGUAGAAUUCCCGGUGUAGCGGUGAAAUGCGUAGAGAUCGGGAGGAAUACCAGUGGCGAAGGCGGCCUUCUGGACUGACACUGACACUGAGGUGCGAAAGCGUGGGUAGCAAACAGGAUUAGAUACCCGAGUAGUC